UCCACCGCGAGGUGGAAUCUGAAGGAAGCAGCAGGCAAACUCCUGGCCCGAGGAACACGAAUCACAUAUGAGGCGCCGGUUGGAUGGGCGAGAGGGCUGUAAGACUCGAAGCCCGAUGUCAUCUGGAUCGAAUCGGCGUAUAUGUGGCGGGUAUAUGGGAGGAAAGUCACGCGU
rnacentral:ncRNA from 1 species